CCUACGGGAGGCAGCAGUGAGGAAUAUUGGUCAAUGGACGAGAGUCUGAACCAGCCAAGUAGCGUGAAGGAUGACUGCCCUAUGGGUUGUAAACUUCUUUUAUAUGGGAAUAAAAUGUUCCACGUGUGGGCUUUUGUAUGUACCAUAUGAAUAAGGAUCGGCUAACUCCGUGCCAGCAGCCGCGGUAAUACGGUGGAUCCGAGCGUUAUCCGGAUUUAUUGGGUUUAAAGGGAGCGUAGGUGGAUUGUUAAGUCAGUUGUGAAAGUUUGCGGCUCAACCGUAAAAUUGCAGUUGAAACUGGCAGUCUUGAGUACAGUAGAGGUGGGCGGAAUUCGUGGUGUAGCGGUGAAAUGCUUAGAUAUCACGAAGAACUCCGAUUGCGAAGGCAGCUCACUGGACUGCAACUGACACUGAGGCUCGAAAGUGUGGGUAUCAAACAGGAUUAGAUACCCGAGUAGUC
rnacentral:rRNA from 1 species